UAGCUAGUUGGUGAGGUAAAGGCUUACCAAGGCGACGAUCUGUAGCGGGUCUGAGAGGAUGAUCCGCCACACUGGAACUGAGACACGGUCCAGACUCCUACGGGAGGCAGCAGUGGGGAAUUUUGGACAAUGGGGGCAACCCUGAUCCAGCCAUGCCGCGUGAGUGAAGAAGGCCUUCGGGUUGUAAAGCUCUUUCGGCCGGGAAGAAAUCGCAUGGGCCAAUACCCUGUGUGGAUGACGGUACCGGAAUAAGAAGCACCGGCUAACUACGUGCCAGCAGCCGCGGUAAUACGUAGGGUGCGAGCGUUAAUCGGAAUUACUGGGCGUAAAGCGUGCGCAGGCGGUUUUGUAAGACAGGCGUGAAAUCCCCGGGCUUAACCUGGGAACUGCGUUUGUGACUGCAAGGCUAGAGUACGGCAGAGGGGGGUGGAAUUCCACGUGUAGCAGUGAAAUGCGUAGAGAUGUGGAGGAACACCAAUGGCGAAGGCAGCCCCCUGGGUCGAUACUGACGCUCAUGCACGAAAGCGUGGGUAGCAAACAGGAUUAGAUACCCUGGUAGUCCACGCCCUAAACUAUGUCAACUAGGUGUUGGGUGGGUAAAACCAUUUAGUACCGUAGCUAACGCGUGAAGUUGACCGCCUGGGGAGUACGGCCGCAAGGUUAAAACUCAAAGGAAUUGACGGGGACCCGCACAAGCGGUGGAUGAUGUGGAUUAAUUCGAUGCAGCGCGAAAAACCUUACCUACCCUUGACAUGCCAGGAACUUGCCAGAGAUGGCUUGGUGCCCGAAAGGGAGCCUGGACACAGGUGCUGCAUGGCUGUCGUCAGCUCGUGUCGUGAGAUGUUGGGUUAAGUCCCGCAACGAGCGCAACCCUUGUCGUUAAUUGCCAUCAUUUAGUUGGGCACUUUAACGAGACUGCCGGUGACAAACCGGAGGAAGGUGGGGAUGACGUCAAGUCCUCAUGGCCCUUAUGGGUAGGGCUUCACACGUCAUACAAUGGUCGGUACAAAGGGUUGCCAAGCCGCGAGGCGGAGCCAAUCCCAGAAAGCCGAUCGUAGUCCGGAUUGCAGGCUGCAACUCGCCUGCAUGAAGUCGGAAUCGCUAGUAAUCGUGGAUCAGCAUGUCACGGUGAAUACGUUCCCGGGUCUUGUACACACCGCCCGUCACACCAUGGGAGCGGGUUCCGCCAGAAGUAGGUAGCCUAACCGCAAGGGGGGCGCUUACCACGGCGGGGUUCGUGACUGGGGUGAAGUCGUAACAAGGUAGCCGUAGGGGAACCUGCGGCUG
rnacentral:rRNA from 1 species